rnacentral:rRNA from 1 species
GAUGAACGCUGGCGGCGUGCCUAAUACAUGCAAGUCGAGCGAACGGACGAGAAGCUUGCUCCUCUGAUGUUAGCGGCGGACGGGUGAGUAACACGUGGAUAACCUACCUAUAAGACUGGGAUAACUUCGGAAAACCGGAGCUAAUACCGGCUAAUAUUUUGAACCGCAUGGUUCAAAAGUGAAAGACGGUCUUGCUGUCACUUAUAGAUGGUUCCGCGCUGCAUUAGCUAGUUGGUAAGGUAACGGCUUACCAAGGCAACGAUGCAUAGCCGACCUGAGAGGGUGAUCAGCCACACUGGAACUGAGACACGGUCCAGACUCCUACGGGAGGCAGCAGUAGGGAAUCUUCCGCAAUGGGCGAAAGCCUGACGGAGCAACGCCGCGUGAGUGAUGAAGGUCUUCGGAUCGUAAAACUCUGUUAUUAGGGAAGAACAGAUGUGUAAGUAACUGUGCACAUCUUGACGGUACCUAAUCAGAAAGCCACGGCUAACUACGUG